CAUUAAAUAGCUUAAAUAUAAAGCAUUAACCUUUUAAGUUAAUGAUGAGAUAACUCUUUAAUGUGUGCCACAAUUAAAUCCAAUCCCCUGAGUCUUUUUCAUAGGGCUAGCAUG
rnacentral:tRNA from 1 species